GUGGGGAAUUUUGGACAAUGGGCGCAAGCCUGAUCCAGCAAUGCCGCGUGCAGGAAGAAGGCCUUCGGGUUGUAAACUGCUUUUGUACGGAACGAAACGGUCCUGGCUAAUAUCCGGGGCUAAUGACGGUACCGUAAGAAUAAGCACCGGCUAACUACGUGCCAGCAGCCGCGGUAAUACGUAGGGUGCGAGCGUUAAUCGGAAUUACUGGGCGUAAAGCGUGCGCAGGCGGUGCUGUAAGACAGGCGUGAAAUCCCCGGGCUCAACCUGGGAACUGCAGCUGUGACUGCAUUGCUGGAGUGCGGCAGAGGGGGAUGGAAUUCCGCGUGUAGCAGUGAAAUGCGUAGAUAUGCGGAGGAACACCGAUGGCGAAGGCAAUCCCCUGGGCCUGCACUGACGCUCAUGCACGAAAGCGUGGGGAGCAAACAGGAUUAGAUACCCUGGUAGUCC
rnacentral:rRNA from 1 species